AAAGAACUUUGAAAAGAGAGUUAAACAGUACGUGAAAUUGUUGAAAGGGAAACGAUUGAAGUCAGUCAUACCAACGGGAAAUCAACCUUUUGAGUUUGUUCUUGUGGGUUUCGAGGAGUUUAAAAGCCUUCGGAUUUGCUAGGAUUGGGCUCUUUUGGUGUACUUUCUCGUACGGUUAGUCAACAUCGGUUUUGAAUGUCAUAAAAUGACUGGAGGAAUGUGGC
rnacentral:rRNA from 1 species